rnacentral:rRNA from 1 species
GAUGAACGCUAGCUACAGGCUUAACACAUGCAAGUCGAGGGGAAACGAUAUUGGAAGCUUGCUUCCGAUAGGCGUCGACCGGCGCACGGGUGAGUAACGCGUAUCCAACCUGCCCAUCACUUGGGGAUAACCUUGCGAAAGUAAGACUAAUACCCAAUGACGUCUCUAGAAGACAUCUGAAGGAGAUUAAAGAUUUAUCGGUGAUGGAUGGGGAUGCGUCUGAUUAGCUAGUUGGCGGUGUAAUGGACCACCAAGGCUACGAUCAGUAGCUGGUUUGAGAGGAUGAUCAGCCACAAUGGGACUGAGACACGGCCCAUACUCCUACGGGAGGCAGCAGUAGGGAAUUUUGCGCAAUGGGGGAAACCCUGACGCAGCAACGCCGCGUGAAUGAUUAAGCCCUUCGGGGUGUAAAGUUCUGUCAGUAGGGACGAAACUUGACGGUACCUACAGAGGAAGCACCGGCUAACUCCGUG